UACAGAGGGGGCAAGCGUUGUUCGGAAUUACUGGGCGUAAAGGGCGCGUAGGCGGCCUGUUAAGUCGAACGUGAAAUCCCCGGGCUCAACCCGGGAACUGCGUCCGAUACUGGCAGGCUUGAAUUCGGGAGAGGGAUGCGGAAUUCCAGGUGUAGCGGUGAAAUGCGUAGAUAUCUGGAGGAACACCGGUGGCGGAAGGCGGCAUCCUGGACCGAGAUUGACGCUGAGGCGCGAAAGCCAGGGGAGCAAACGGG
rnacentral:rRNA from 1 species